rnacentral:rRNA from 1 species
UACAGAGGUCCCGAGCGUUGUUCGGAUUCACUGGGCGUAAAGGGUGCGUAGGUGGUGGAGUAAGUUUGAUGUGAAAUCUCCGGGCUUAACCCGGAAACUGCAUUGAAUACUAUUUUGCUGGAGGUUUGGAGGGGGGACUGGAAUUCUCGGUGUAGCAGUGAAAUGCGUAGAUAUCGAGAGGAACACCAGUGGCGAAGGCGAGUCCCUGGACAACACCUGACACUGAGGCACGAAAGCUAGGGGAGCAAACAGG